GACGAACGCUGGCGGCGUGCUUAACACAUGCAAGUCGAGCGGUAAGGCCCUUUCGGGGGUACACGAGCGGCGAACGGGUGAGUAACACGUGGGUGACCUGCCCUCAGCUCUGGGAUAAGCCUGGGAAACUGGGUCUAAUACGGAUAUGACUCCAUGACGCAUGUUGUGGGGUGGAAAGCCUUGUGCGGCUGAGGAUGGGCCCGCGGCCUAUCAGCUUGUUGGUGGGGAUGAGUCGGCCUACCAAGGCGACGACGGGUAGCCGGCCUGAGAGGGCGACCGGCCACACUGGGACUGAGACACGGCCCAGACUCCGUACGGGAGGCAGCAGGUGGGGAAUCUUGCGCAA
rnacentral:rRNA from 1 species